GCCAGGCUUGGUGGGACAUGCCUGUAAUCCCAGUGACUUGGAGGCCAAGGCAGGAGGAUUGCAAGUUCAAAGCCAGCCUCGGCAAUUUAGAGAGGCCCUAAGCAAUUUAGCAAGACCCUGUCUCAA
rnacentral:sRNA from 1 species